GCAGUCGUGGCCGAGUGGUUAAGGCGUUGGACUCGAAAUCCAAUGGGGUCUCCCCGCGCAGGUUCGAAUCCUGCCGGCUGCG